CAAAAGGGCAGAACAAGUUGGAUGAACUGACCAAACUCUAUUUUUCGGUUUCUGUCAGGCUGCUGUGUGUGGAGGACGAUUUCACUGAUAAGAAGUCCCCAAGUGAUCUGUCAUGGUGUCUGGCAGCCUUGAAAGCAGGAUUUUGCUCGGAAAACUCAUCAUACCCACCAUGAGUGCCUCUCAGCUUAAGGGCUAAAAAACAAAAGGAAUAUUGCUCAGCAGUGGGCUGAUGUGGCUAAAGGGGAAGUGCAGCGAUUCAGACAAAUGGGAUUCCUUCCAAAGCAGAUGGACUGUUAAAUAUUCAGCAUUUGCUGUGUGCCUGGUUACCCUCUUUGUCUGGACCAUCACACCUGAGUGUUUCCAGUCCAAGUACAGCAAGCCAGAAGAUAUUUGCUUCAGAUGUGUCCUCCUUCAGCCAGCCCUCCUUUAGCAAAGCAUAACACUGAAGUAGCUGCAAUUUGACCCUUCACUUUGCAGAGGGACAAACCCUGUCAUCUGCUUUUUACUUUGUGGCUAUAGUCUGAAGAGUUACCAGGAUAUACAAAAAAUGGAUUGACCUAAAAAGUGAGAGGUUUCCUGACUUUUCCAGUACUGUGAGCUACAGAACAAAAUCCCUCUGAUGUUCAAAACCUUGAGACACAUAGUGAGCAUCUCCAAGUGCUGUACACAAAUGAGAAGGUACAUCCUGAAAAGGUUACAGACAGGGCAUUAUGUACCUUCUCAGAGGAUGCCAUGGUUGAUGGGGCUAGUGCUAGGCUUGGCUUGCCUUGGGUGGCAUUAGGCCCUGGAGCUCCUUCUGUCUCAUGGUAUUACAGGACUUGGCAACCCUCUGUCUUUGGUCACGUGCUGGCUCUGAUGCUACAUCUGAACUGCCCAUUUGAAGAAGAAUCUGUAGAACCUGUGGACACUGGAAGACACCUGAGGCUUUUGGGCCUGGGUGGUCAGGUGAAGGGGAGAAGGCAAACAGAACAAAAGAUAUACUAUGGGCACUCAGGUGCUUCAACACAGCUCUGCAGCUACAGGUAACCAUCCUUUCAAGGCAAUGCCCACAAACCAUGUUCAAGCCUAAAACACAAAAUAGUAUGAAAUGGAAGCAUUUCAUGAACUUUCAUCUCUAGUUCCAUAUUCUAAUUCUUAUAGUAUUCUUAUAGAAUUCCAGUUCUAUACCAAAAGGAACUCAGCAUUUUUGUUGACACAAAGCUUUACUUCACAUGAACUAUUUUAUGUUGGAAAGUUUUGCUGUUGGUUGAAAGCUGAUUAAAAUACAAUUAAAAAAAAAAAAAGAGUCACAUUUUACAGUUAUUUAUGAGACUCUUGUCUCACACUUCGGUGUGAGGUCUGUGGUUUCUAGUCUAGACCAUCCAAGUGUGAAAGCUCUGUUUAUUUAUUUGUCUCCUAGGUGAUUAUGGCUAGCUUGGAUGAAUGCAUAAAUCAAACAGCAGUUGGUCAUAUUUCUUUUUUAAAAAUCAGAACAAACAAGCAAACAAACAAACAAAAAAACACUAUAGAAAUAUGCAUAUGACUAUACUGGACUAAAAAAAAAAAGUUCUAAUACUGGGCUUUUGGAUUUUAAUGCUAUUGUACUAUAAUGCCUUAGGGUAUGGUAGUCUGGAUGGAUAAACAUGGCUCAUUCUUCACUGGACCAGUUUUCUGGAAGCAGAGGUAGCAGCAAUGAAAGAUUACCAUGUGUGGGGCUGCAGCAGAAAGAGUGGAGCCACCAGGUCCAGGAAAUUGAUCUUCCCUUGUACCUAGCACUUUUAAGAUAUAUCUGAAGGACUUUCGGACCCCCAAGAUGAUAGAGCUGGAGCACUUGCCAUUUAAGGAGAGGCUUCAGGACUGGGACUCUGAAAAGAGAAGGGGACAGAGACCUUACUGCUUCUAGUGGGAGGUGAUAGAGAAGACAGUGUUGGAGUCCUCCUAAGAGUGCAUAUUGCAAAAACAGCAAACAGAAAGGACAUGAAAGAGCAGGGGAAAUUCCAACUGAACACAAGAGAAAAAAUGUUCAGUUUAAGGGUGGUUAAGCUUUGCAACAGAGGGCCAUUGACCAUGUGGGGAUGCUCUUGGACAUUUUCAAAAGUGGACUGGAGUAACAUGACUCUAAUUUGAUGAUGAACUUGCUUUGAGUUGGGGGGGACAGGCUGGAUCUUUGCAGAUGCUUUCCAAAUGACAUUAUGUUACUGUUCCAAAUUCUGAUUACACUGCUGAUCUUGGACUUUUAUGGAAAGAAUUAAAAAAUAAAUAGAACUGGGAUCAUUUUUGUGCUUAUGCAAAAUAAAAUGCUGUCUGUUGGCCACUUCCCACACUCUUUAAUUUGUCUUUACUAAAGUAAAUUAUUUUGUUCGUGGAACAUGAAGCUCCUACAGUGAGUCACAAUGUUUACUUUGGACGUGGAGUACUGGAUAUACAUUAACUGACAGCAGAUGAUCUUUUCCCUGGAGAAUCACAGAUUUGUGCUUAAAUAUAAUAGGGUACAAGGCUAGUUGAAACAAAAAGAUUGAAAAUACUGCCUUUGUGCAUUUCAAUUUCAAUUUUAAUAUUGUCUUUUUCAAAUCAGCAUAUAUCAUCAACAAUAAAAGAGGAAUAGUCCCAUAUUAACAUGUAGAAAAUUAAUAAGUUGUUCCAUGAGCAGAAUGGAUGACACUUCUGAUUAGAUCCUGUGGUUUUGAAAAGAUGUGAAUGUAAAUGAACCAUUUUCCUGUGCUCAGAGUACUCAGAGAAUUUUUAUCCUAUGCAAACUUCCACUCUCUUUACAAAGGUUUGAAUUCUUGCUGCUACAUUUCCUUUAAUAAUGGCAAUGAUGGGAGCUUUAUCUCAUCUGGAUGUGGUGAAACCUGUAGGACUAUUAUGUGCUUGAACCUCUGUCAGAUUUGGUAGAAAUUAGAGGGUUCAAAAGGUAUUAGAAAGCAUUACAGAGAGGAAGAUAUACAUACAUAUAUGAAGUCUGAUAAUUUAGGAUUAAUUUCCAUAGAAAAUCUGAUUAAAACUAAAAGUAUUAAGAAUCUGAACUAACUUUAGUUACAUAAUUGCUUAUGUGAAUAUAUUUAAACACAUUCAGCCUGGUUAGCAAAAAGGUGCCAAGUAUAGGAUGAAGAUUUUAGUAACAAAUAGACUUAAUGCCCAGCUUGACAAACAUAAUAGUUGCUAAGAAAAUUCAAAAAAUCAAAACAUCCAGAAAAUAAGUAAAAUUACCGAUUUAAAGCCAGACUUCCAAUUUAGUAUCUCAUCUUCAUUUUGUCUAAUUUUUGCCAAAUGGGAGCAAAGUUAAGACAAUGGAAAAACAGACUGAUUGUCAAUGGAUUUAUAUUUAUUUAUUUAUUUAUUUAUUUAUUUUCCUGAUGAUAUUACUAACAGAACUCUAGAAACCUCUUCAAAAAUAAAUAUGAAGAUUACUUCCACCUGGACUUGGGACACAUCUUUCCCUGAUUUGAAUCAAGAAAGAGUCAUUAUCUCUCUGCCUGCAUUUUUGAUAUCUGGCAAACAAAAUGACAUGGAAGUUUCAUCGGAUAAAACUGUAAAGUCAUCUUACAGCUUUGUAACCUGAGUGUGCAAUUCAUCUCACUUAACAUAACCAAGGUACAAAUUAGCAUUUGAUGUAAAAUUAGUCCUUUUAGGCUGUUUUCAGUCAAUGAAAGGAAAUGCCUCCAGAACCUGGCUCAUUUAAUCGAGGGUCGAUGUCUAAGAUAAAUGGCAAGAAGCUACCUCUGAACAAGUCCAUCUUUCUUCGGUGACAAUAGAGACAGACCGAAUGGCAACCUAUGACUAGAAAUCUGAGACAGUUAAGGUGAGGCGAGGUGAAUCCUACCCAUACAAACCAAAACCUCUGUUUCGUUUCAUAUUUUUUUUACCCUUCCCUCUUCUGAACAACAGAAAUCUGCUGUUUAUCUUUCGAAUUCAUAGCUAGUGCAGAGGUAAUGUCAUUUUGUCUCUGACAAUAGAGAUAUACACACCCAGUGCUUCUAUGUGUAACCUUCACAAUGCCCUCAGACUUGACUAAUAGAAUAUUUUAUUUGUUUUAAUUAAAUAA